UCUCUGCUCUCAAGUCCUUUUCCGUGCAGAAGUUUUCCUCCAGCACUGAGGGCACCUCAUGCUCCACCCGGGACCAGAGGAGCCCCAGAGGGGCCAAGGUGUCUGAGGAAUAGGUGACAUGGAUGGUGGGUUCAGUGUCACAGUGUGGAUUACAAGUAGCCUCUAUGGGUGGUCACCCUUUUCCGGGCAGCCACACCCCAGAAACUGUUCGGAGGAGUUUCGGCAGAGGGGAGUUCCCCACCCACUGCCCAGUCACCGGCGAACCUUCUGGAAACAAGCAGCCAGCCUGGAUGAGCUCACAGGGCAGGAACACAGCAGGAAGGAGAGAUUCCUGGCAAGCUCUGAGCCAGAGACAAACGAUGAUCCAAUCUUGUUUAAUAUUUAAUCAACGCAUGAUUAAUAGUGAAGUCAUUUUGGGAGACCACCCUGAUCAUUGGAAUCCAUGGCUCAAACAAAAUCCCAUAUUCUAGCUCAGCGUGUCUCAAACUUCCGUGUCCAUCCUGGUCACCUGGGAGACUUGUUACAAGUUACGGCAAAUUCACAGGCAAGGCUGAUGCUGCUGGUCCAGGGACCACACUUUGAGAACCACUGGCUAGUGGCAACAUCUGGAUUCCUCCCGAUUAUUGCAGCCCUGUGGCGUUUCAUUUCUUCCUCUGUUUCCACUCAUUCCCUUUACAGCAUCAUAUCUCUUGCAAGUUGCCAGGCAACUGUGAUUUAUUGUUUG